rnacentral:rRNA from 1 species
UACGUAGGGGGCUAGCGUUGUCCGGAAUCAUUGGGCGUAAAGAGCGUGUAGGCGGUCCGGUAAGUCCGUUGUGAAAGUCAGGGGCUCAACCCUUGAAUGCCGGCGGAUACUGUCGGGCUAGAGUCCGGAAGAGGCAAGUGGAAUUCCCGGUGUAGCGGUGAAAUGCGCAGAUAUCGGGAGGAACACCGAUGGCGAAGGCAGAUCUCUGGGCCGUAACUGACGCUGAGGAGCGAAAGCGUGGGGAGCGAACAGG